UACGAAGGGGACUAGCGUUGUUCGGAAUUACUGGGCGUAAAGCGCACGUAGGCGGAUUUGUAAGUCAGGGGUGAAAUCCCGGGGCUCAACCUCGGAACUGCCUUUGAUACUGCAAAUCUCGAGUCCGAUAGAGGUGGGUGGAAUUCCUAGUGUAGAGGUGAAAUGCGUAGAUAUGCGGAGGAAUACCGAUGGCGAAGGCGGCUCACUGGCUCAUAUCUGACGCUCAGGCGCGACAGCGUGGGUAGCAAACAGG
rnacentral:rRNA from 1 species